rnacentral:rRNA from 1 species
GAAGCUGGAAUCGCUAGUAAUCGCGGAUCAGAAUGCCGCGGUGAAUACGUUCCCGGGUCUUGUACACACCGCCCGUCACACCAUGGGAGUCGGAAAUGCCCGAAGUCUGUGACCCCAACCUCAGGGGAGGGAGCAGCCGAAGGCAGGUCGGAUGACUGGGGUGAAGUCGUAACAAGGUACC